rnacentral:lncRNA from 1 species
CCACCACCACUAACAGUACUAUCACCAUUUGUGACCACCACCACCUUAUCAUAACAGCCAUCACCAAACACAACUCCAGCAUCAUCACAACCAGAACAACUACUCUCAUUUGCAAAACACCAACGACCACCAACAAAAAUUAACCCAAACUUUGACUACAUAGCAAAUCAGAUUAGAUCAGACAAACCACCCAAGCAAAUUGGAUUAGAAAACCACCACAAAACUCCAAUGAACCACCCGUCGGCUGCACGAGGUGCCACGCGUGUUCAAGGCACAAGCAAAACACCAUCCACCAACAAAAUUCUUCCCAAUCGGAUCGGAAAACCACAAACAAACUCCAACAACCACCAACAAAUCACUCGUCAAUGAUAGAAAGAGUGAUAAAGAGAGGAGACAAUAGAGAAGGAAUUGAUUAGGAUUUUGGGAGUGAAAUUGGGUGGGUGAAUGGUAUGGUAUGGGGUGUGUAUAUAGAUUAAAGGGGUGUUUAAUAGGUAUUUUUAUGUAAAAAUGCAUUUUAGAAUAGUAAAUUGAUGUGAAAUGUGUGG